CUGCAUGCUUUAUACAUGCAAGUCGAACGGAGGCCCUAGCUUGCUAGGUGUCCUUAGUGGCGCACGGGUGAGUAACACGUGGGAACAUACCUCAUAGUACGGAAUAACUGCGGGAAACUGUAGCUAAUACCGUAUAUUCCAGAAAUGGGAAAGAUUUAUCGCUAUGAGAUUGGCCCGCGCAAGAUUAGUUUGUUGGUAAGGUAAUGGCUUACCAAGGCUACGAUCUUUAGCUGGUUUGAGAGGAUGAUCAGCCACACUGGGACUGAGACACGGCCCAGACUCCUACGGGAGGCAGCAGUAGGGAAUAUUGGACAAUGGGGGCAACCCUGAUCCAGCAAUGCAGCGUGAGUGACGAAGGCCUUAGGGUUGUAAAACUCUUUCAUCGGUGAGGAUAAUGACAGUAGCCGAAGAAGAAGGACCGGCUAAU
rnacentral:rRNA from 1 species